rnacentral:lncRNA from 1 species
CACAGAGGCAAAACCACAGCGUUCUCCUUGUGGUGAGAAUGUGCUGUAGAUGGAGGGUGCUGCUACGGAAAGCACUGAGCAGCAUUUCUUACCCGGAUUUUUUACACUUUUUAGGUUCAAAUUGGAGCAGGGACGUGGCAAAGCAGGAGAGAGGGGAUGGAGCCCUCUCCAGCUCCUGAUUUCUGUGUCAGGAUCAGAGAGGACCAUCCUGCUGCUGGCUCUGUCCCCACAGUCCCCGAGGCUCCAUGGCCAAGGUGCAGACUGAUCCUGAGGAUCAUGAAAUCCCUUUUCCAUCCCUCUCUCUGUUCCCACUGCAUGGUGAGAUGCUUGUGCCCUUCCUCCAGCAGGAGCUGCCUCGUCCUCUCUGCACCACCAGAGCUGCAGUGCUGAGCCCUGCUUUGACCCUCUGCCACGCUGUGGGUCCAGCCCUGGAUGAGGAGAAAGAGGAAAGGUUCCCUGUGGGCAGCACCGUGGGCCUAGGAGUGUUUGGUACCAGUCUCUUGGCAAAAGAGCCUGAGGAAUGGAAGGGUAAAGAAAUAUGACCCAGCUGCUAUGCACAAUGAGGUUUGUAAGUCCUUGUAUGGUAUAAAUAAGCAUAUUACACAGUUAUUAGAAAUUUGGCACUGUCGCUGUUUAGAAGCAAGGCUCUGAUGCUGUGUAAUUCCUCCCGAGUUCAUGCAUAACUCAGUAUUAGCCUUCCAUUCUUCCAGCCUUGUUACCGGCCAAAUUCGGCAACUUUUUCUCAGUACUCAUCCAUUCAAACCCUUCUCAGCUCUGUAAACCGGUGAGUUUCCUCUCAAGUCAGUAAAUCUGUGCCAGC